rnacentral:rRNA from 1 species
UGGGGAAUAUUGGGCAAUGGGCGAAAGCCUGACCCAGCAACGCCGCGUGAAGGAAGAAGGUUUUCGGAUUGUAAACUUCUGUCCUUGGUGACGAAGGAAGUGACGGUAGCCAAGGAGGAAGCCCCGGCUAACUACGUGCCAGCAGCCGCGGUAAUACGUAGGGGGCGAGCGUUGUCCGGAAUGACUGGGCGUAAAGGGCGUGUAGGCGGCCGACUAAGUAUGGAGUGAAAACCCAGGUUUCAAGCUUGGGCCUGCUUUGUAGACUGGUUGGCUUGAGUGCGGAAGAGGUAAGUGGAAUUCCCAGUGUAGCGGUGAAAUGCGUAGAGAUUGGGAGGAACACCAGUGGCGAAGGCGACUUACUGGGCCGUAACUGACGCUGAGGCGCGAAAGCGUGGGGAGCGAACAGG